rnacentral:misc_RNA from 1 species
GCAAACUUGGUCAUUUAGAGGAAGUAAAAGUCGUAACAAGGUUUCCGUAGGUGAACCUGCGGAAGGAUCAUUACUGAGGUACGCUCGGUGUCGCUUCGGCGCGCCGGUUGCCCGCCCUUAUGUCAUACGUGCCGGAGCCGUCCCACCUGCCCUCGGGCGGUGGGCGGCGACGGGAACAUCACUUCGGUCGAGGUGUUGCGUCUUCGGCGGGGGGUUCUGCCCCCCGCUGGGACGCGACCGCGGCCGGCCGUAUCUUUACACUCUUUGUGAGAAGCAUGAAGUCUGAAGCAAAAUGAAAAUAAAGCAAAAACUUUCAACAACGGAUCUCUUGGCUCUGGCAUCGAUGAAGAACGCAGC